AUUACAUUAUCACUAAACAUUAACCACUACACUACACUGUCACUACAUUAUCAAUAAACAUUAACCCCUACACUACCACUACAUUAUCACUAAAUAUUAACCUCUACACUACAUCACUACUUUAUCACUAAACAUUAACCCCUACACUACAUCAUCAUUACAUUAUUACUAAACAUUAGCCCCUACACUACACUAUCACUACAUUAUCACUAAACAUUAACCCCUAUACUACACCAUCACUACAUUAUCACUAAACAUUAAUCCCUAC